rnacentral:rRNA from 1 species
UACGUAGGUGGCAAGCGUUGUCCGGAUUUACUGUGCGUAAAGGGCGCGUAGGCGGCUUAUCAAGUCAGGCGUGAAAUUCCCGGGCUCAACCUGGGGGCUGCGCUUGAUACUGAUUGGCUUGAAUGCGGGAGAGGAUAGUGGAAUUCCCAGUGUAGAGGUGAAAUUCGUAGAUAUUCGCAAGAACACCAGUGGCGAAGGCGGCUCACUGGCCCGGUACUGACGCUGAGGUGCGAAAGCGUGGGGAGCAAACAGG